GACGAACGCUGGCGGCGUGCCUAAUACAUGCGAGUUGAGCGCUGAAGGUUGGUACUUGUACCAACUGGAUGAGCAGCGAACGGGUGAGUAACGCGUGGGGAAUCUGCCUUUGAGCGGGGGACAACAUUUGGAAACGAAUGCUAAUACCGCAUAAAAACUUUAAACACAAGUUUUAAGUUUAAAAGAUGCAAUUGCAUCACUCAAAGAUGAUCCCGCGUUGUAUUAGCUAGUUGGUGAGGUAAAGGCUCACCAAGGCGAUGAUACAUAGCCGACCUGAGAGGGUGAUCGGCCACAUUGGGACUGAGACACGGCCCAAACUCCUACGGGAGGCAGCAGCAGGGAAUCUUCGGCAAUAGACGAAAGUCUGACCGAGCAACGCCGCGUGAGUGAAGAAGGUUUUCGGAUCGUAAAACUCUGUUGGUAGAGAAGAACGUUGGUGAGAGUGGAAAGCUCAUCAAGUGACGGUAACUACCCAGAAAGGGACGGCUAACUACGUG
rnacentral:rRNA from 1 species